rnacentral:misc_RNA from 1 species
GAUGAAGAACGUAGCAAAAUGCGAUAAGUAAUGUGAAUUGCAGAAUUCAGUGAAUCAUCGAAUAUUUGAACGCACAUUGCGCCCGCUGGUAUUCCGGCGGGCAUGCCUGUUCGAGCGUCAUUUCAACCCUCAAGCCCCCGGGUUUGGUGUUGGGGAUCGGCUCUGCCCUUCUGGGCGGUGCCGCCCCCGAAAUACAUUGGCGGUCUCGCUGCAGCCUCCAUUGCGUAGUAGCUAACACCUCGCAACUGGAACGCGGCGCGGCCAUGCCGUAAAACCCCAACUUCUGAAUGUUGACCUCGGAUCAGGUAGGAAUACCCGCUGAACUUAAGCAUAUCAAUAAGCGGAGGA